GACAGAGGGGGCAAGCGUUGCUCGGAAUUACUGGGCGUAAAGGGCGCGUAGGCGGGAUGGCAAGUCGGUCGUGAAAUCCCUCGGCUCAACCGAGGAACGUCGAUCGAUACUGCUGUUCUUGAGGAUUGCAGAGGAGACUGGAAUUCCCGGUGUAGCGGUGAAAUGCGUAGAUAUCUGGAGGAAUACCGGUGGCGAAGGCGGCAUCCUGGACCGACAUUGACGCUGAACGGCGAAAGCUAGGGGAGCAAACGGG
rnacentral:rRNA from 1 species